rnacentral:lncRNA from 1 species
AACGAUGACCGCCCUAACUGUCAGGACGUGCAUGCGUUGGCCCACAUGUAAGCUCAGUCGACUCGUUAAGCAUUGUCCGCUUGCAUUUUCUCCUCGCAGCCCACGCGCCAGAAAUACGGCUCCAGCCCCACCUGUCAGCACUCCCGCGGCCCACCCGUCGAAAGCAAACGGUCAAAGGGCUUGACCGUUAGCAGGUGCUCCGUGAGAGCAUUUGCGAAGAAGCAGAAAACAAACAAGUCUAGAAGCGAGCAUAGUUAUGAGCCCUGGGUAUUCCUGAGUACAGCUAAGGAGGAGGGGCAUAGAAAUAAAAAAACCCAAAAAAAUGUGCUCGAAAUAGAAAAGGUCAGGUGAGAUCCUUGCAGUUCUACAGUUCUACUAGAAAAAUGAAAUUUUCACUCAAAACAAAAAUAGAUAAAUGAAAUAUUUCAAAAGUACUUGAGCUAAUAUUCUGUCCCUGAAACAAACCACAUCCGUUCAUGGUAUGUAGGAGUAGAUCAAGUUGAUGUACAUCCUCGUGCUACAACAUCCAUGCAUGCCAAACA